ACGGGGCGCAGCAGGCGCGAAAAUUGUACAAUGCGCGAAAGCGCGACACGGGGAGCUUGAGUGUCUUGGCAUAGCCAAGACUUUUCUUAUACCUAAAAAGUAUAAGGAAUAAGUGCUGGGUAAGACGGGUGCCAGCCGCCGCGGUAACACCCGCAGCACAAGUGGUGGUCACUUUUAUUGAGCCUAAAGCGUUCGUAGCCGGUUUUGUAAAUCUUCAGGUAAAUCCUGAAGCCUAACUUCAGAAGGCCUGAAGAGACUGCAAAACUUGAGAUCGGGUGAGGUUAAACGUACUUUCAGGGUAGGGGUAAAAUCCUGUAAUCCUGGAAGGAAGACCGGUGGCGAAGGCGUUUAACUAGAACGAAUCUGACGGUGAGGAACGAAGGCUAGGGUAGCAAACCGGAUUAGAUACCCGGGUAGUCCUAGCUGUAAACACUGCCCACUUGAUGUUGCUUUUCCGUUGAGGGAAGGCAGUGUCGGAGCGAAGGUGUUAAGUGGGCCGCUUGGGAAGUAUGGUCGCAAGACUGAAACUUAAAGGAAUUGGCGGGGGAGCACCGCAACGGGAGGAAUGUGCGGUUUAAUUGGAUUCAACGCCGGAAAACUCACCGGGAACGACCUGUGGAUGAGAGUCAACCUGACGAGUUUACUCGAUAGCAGGAGAGGUGGUGCAUGGCCGUCGUCAGCUCGUACCGUAGGGCGUUCACUUAAGUGUGAUAACGAGCGAGACCCACAUCUCUAAUUGCUAAUGUAUAUGCGAAUAUACAUGCACUUUAGAGAGACCGCCAUCGCUAAGAUGGAGGAAGGAGCGGUCGACGGCAGGUCAGUACGCCCCGAAUUUCCCGGGCUACACGCGCAUUACAAAGAACGGGACAAUGCGUUGCAACCUCGAAAGGGGAAGCUAAUCGCGAAACCCGUCCAUAGUUAGGAUUGAGGGCUGUAACUCGCCCUCAUGAAUCUGGAUUCCGUAGUAAUCGCGGGUCAACAACCCGCGGUGAACAUGCCCCUGCUCCUUGCACACACCGCCCGUCAAACCAUCCGAGUUGGUGUUGGAUGAGGCUUAAUUCGAGAGGGUUAAGUCAAAUCUGAUGUUGGUGAGGAGGGUUAAGUCGUAACAAGGUAGCCGU
rnacentral:rRNA from 1 species